UACGUAGGGUGCAAGCGUUAAUCGGAAUUACUGGGCGUAAAGCGUGCGCAGGCGGUUUUGUAAGUUUGUCGUGAAAUCCCCGGGCUCAACCUGGGAAUGGCGAUGAAGACUGCAAGGCUAGAAUCUGGCAGAGGGGGGUAGAAUUCCACGUGUGAGCAGUUGAAAUGCGUAGAGAUGCGGAGGAACACCGAAUGGCGAAGGCAGCCCC
rnacentral:rRNA from 1 species